rnacentral:lncRNA from 1 species
GUUUGUCAGUCUGUGCCUGGUGAGCCUUUUCUAGUAUAGAGACUACCCAGGUAGCGUAAAGAGUCCUGGGUUUGAAUGAGGACACUUUCACUUUGCAAGGAGCCGUACUGGAAGAGGCACUAUGGUGAAAUUUGGCUGGUGUGGAAACAGGAAAUACUAUGAUGGGACCUUCAUCUUGCCUGCUACAAUGUGGUGCUCUGGACAUCUCUGCAGGGGGACAAGCAGUGUGGAAGACACAAGCUACUUCAGGGGCUAUGAUGACAGGCUGUUGGUCAACUGAUGAAUUAUUGGAAGUCUAUUACUGCAGGAACCAGGGGCCUAUUGUUUUAUGGAUACAAUUCAGGGGACCCAUGUAUUUGGAUGCAGAAAAUCAUCAUUUUAUUUUCAUAACCUCCUUCAUUUAUGGAUGCAGGAAUCAAAAACAUUUGUUAUCAAUACUUAUGACUAUGCUACUCAGAGAAAUCAGAGAUUUUUAAAAUUACAUAUUAAAGUUAUAUAUAUCCAA